rnacentral:misc_RNA from 1 species
AAGAAAAGAAAAGAAAAGAAAAGGAAAGAAAAGAAAAGAAAGGAAAAUAAAAAGACUUAUGGCAUUUAAAGAAAAGAAAAAAAUAAGCUUAUGAAAAUUUAAAACAAAAUUAAGUACAAUAAAAAAAUAAAUAUAUAAAGCACAAGAGACAAAACCCACCUACUUUUCUCUCCAUCUUCUUCCCCACUCUCCCUCUCUCUUGCCGUCCACCCUUGUGCUCCCUCUCCACCAUUUUUGUCAAGCUUUCAAGCUUGAUUUCCCAAGCUUCUACACACCAAAACCCAUAGCCCACUUCACAAAAAAUACUCCCCACACCCUAAGGAAGCUAUAGAUACCAAAAAGAAGCAAGGAAAGUGAAGUUUAACAAGUUACAAAAAAAGGUUAGUGCUCAAAACUCUUAAUCUCUUCUUUAAGCAUGAAAAUCAUACUAAACCAAGUGAAGAUUUACAUGAAAUUAAAAAGAAAAAUUUGGGAAAGAAACCCUUGAAUUCAGCAGCCCUAGAGGAACCAUGAAAAUGAUGGAUUUUGUUGGUUUUAGUUUAGUUAGGGAAGUUAAUUAACUAGGUAUUAUAUGUGGGAAUUGAUUUCAUAGUUAUAUAUAUGCAUUUGAUGUUUGAAAUUAGGGUUGUGCACUUGUUAUUGAGGAUUUUGUAAUAUUUUUGAAUUUGACCUAAUUGUGUUGAGAUUGAUGAUAAUAGAAGUGACAUGUAUGUUUAUUUGGAGAUUGGAGAAGGUGGAGAUUAAAUUUUGGGAGUGUCAAAUUUCUGCAGGUUGGGACUCAAUGAGUCCAGUGUGUUUGUUGAACCCUAACUGACAAUGUGUGACUCCAAUUGGUAUGAGGCCAAUUGGAGGUAAAAUUAGACAUAUAAUGAACCAACUUUCAUGUAGAAGCCUUACCAAAAAUCUGGCUAGAAAGUGACCUAAAAAGUGAUCUAAUCUGGAAUUGGUAAAUUGAAACCCAGAAUUUUUUACCAUAUGAAUAGUAGCCAGUAUUUUGGCCAUAACUCACUCAAAACAGGUCCAAUUGACCUGAAAUUUUGACUAUGAAUAGUUAAGACCCAUAUCUACAAGUCUUAUGAAGACACCAAAGCCCAGAAAUGACCAUAAGCAAGUCAAACAGCUUGCACAAGUUCGGGUCCAAAAACUGGCCGAACCAAAGUUGACCAAAUUGACCUAAAAUUGACCUAAUUUGAUGCCAUUUGACCAGCAAUAGUAAAAUGACCAUAACUUGGUCUACAUAACUCAGAAUGACCUGAAAUUUUGCCCCGCGUGCAAUAAGACAUAGAUCUACAAGUUUGUAGUUUUGACCGAAACCCGAAAACCGAGGGAACUAGGUCGUCCGGCUAGGUCAAACUAGUAUCUCGGAAUCCAGCAAAUUGCAAGAAAAUGCAGUAUACACGGAAAUGAGUUUGGUAACAUGUACCAACCCUAAAAGGCUAUCGAAUGUGACAUGUUAGUAACAUUAAAACCUAAUUUACCUAGAAUGCAUCGAGGGUCAACAUAUUAGGUUGACUAAGCAAAUAAUAGAAUUCAGUGAAUUACUUAUCAAGCAUUAUCGUUAGAGACAGUUUAAUUUAGUACUGAAACACUUCAAAUUGUGUUUCUCAGUUAGCAAAGACUCAAGGAAAGGGAAGGAAAUACUGAGUCAGAGCCAAGAGAUAGUUAUCAGAGGUUUGUGCACAAUAGUUAUUUCUUUUGAAUUUUUCAAUUGAAAUAAAUAUUGACUAUUUGUAUAUUAUUGUUUUAAAUUGUGGAAAUGUGUUUGAUGAACACUUAUUGAUUGAAAAACAUGGUGAAUGGUUUGAAACUGUGAAAAAUUGUUUGAAUGAUAUUGAUGGAUACUUAUUGAUUGAAAAGCAUUGGAAAUAGUUUGAAACCACAGCUAUCAUGUACAUUGAUUGUAUUCCUCGCUAGCUUGUCUAGUGGGACGAAUUGAAUUCCCUCUCUGGCUGAAGUGUUGAGGUGUGUGCCUGUUGAGAACUAAUAGAAUGAGUACUCAUAUUAUUGCUAGCUAGCUAUGUUAUUCCUCACUAGCCAUCGGCUUUUGGGGUGAAUUGAGCUUUGGCAACAUGAUUAAGCUGUGUGUGUAUGAUUUAUUGAUAUUUAUUGUGAUAUUGUGAAAUGGAGUUUAAAUUCUUAUUGACAUUCACUGUCUUUUGAAUUUAACUAUGUUUGGAUUUCUGAGAUUUAUUAUGAUAUUGUGUUAAAUUCCUUCUGAUAUUCAUUGUCUUGAACUUAACUAUGAUUUUACGUAUCCAUCAUUUAUAUGAUUUAUGAAUUGUGAUUUAAAGUUGUAUUUGGUUAAUGUUGUGCACCACUGAGACAUUGUCUCAGCGAUAGCGUUUUAUUGCUGUCGCAGGUAGACAGACAGACAGGGCAGCAGACUAGGCUGCAUAUACAUCCAGCGAGGGAUUACCUGGAAAGCUAAGAUCCUCGCAUUGAAUAUGGAAGAGGGUGAUCGUUCAGUCGAUCAGUCUAUUGAGGCUGAGGUGCAAGGGGAUGCCCCAGGCCUACAUAAUGUUAGUGGUUCAGCAGCACCAGCCCCUGCAGUACCGCAGUUUCCUGCUCAGUUUGUGCAGCAGAUGGCUGCGUUUUUCCAACAAAUGGCGAGAAAUGUGCCACCCCAAGCUCAGAUGCAAGCACCUGUAGCACAACCAGAGCUCUUGGCUCGGCAAUAUGAAAAAUUAAUGAAAUUUGGGGCCACCGAGUUUAAGGGCACUGUGGAUCCACUGGAGGCAGAACAGUGGUUAGAGCAAAUGGAACGGGUUUUCAGAAAGCUGCAGUGUGCAGAAGAGCUGAAGUUCGAGUACUCUGUUUCUUUGUUGCAAGGGGAUGCAUAUGAAUGGUGGAAGACCAUUCCCCACAGCUUGGUUGAGCCACCUGUGUUGACCUGGUCAGACUUUUUGAGGGAGUUUCGACAGAAGUGGGUUCCCGAUGCUUAUGUAGAUAUGAAGUUACAGGAAUUCCUAAGUUUGAAACAAGGGGAUAGAACAAUAGCAGAGUAUGAACGGGACUUUUCAAGGCUAAGCCACUAUGCUGGAAGCUUAGUCUCUACCCCCAGAGACAGAUGUAAAAGGUUUGAGUCCGGGUUAAGGUCGAAUCUGAGGAUGCAAGUUGUGGGAUUCAAACACCAGAAUUUUUCUGAGCUGAUUUCACAAGCCCUGGAACUGGAAAGGAUAGAAUCAGAAGGGGCAGUGAAGAAGGGUACACAAGAGAAAGAGAAAACUGAAAGGACUACUGAUCAAACACCUGAAAGUGGUUCAGGGAAGAGGAAACAGUCUGGGGGAUAUAGCUCUCGCAGAUCUGGCAGAGGUAGAUUCUCUGGCCAAAGACCGCUCCGGUUUGGUCAGCAGACCCGACAAGCUUCUCAAGGAUCUUUAUCAGUCCGGCAGUGUGAAACCUGUGGUAGAACACACGGUGGGGUGUGUUUCAAGGCCAUAGGUGCAUGUUAUAACUGUGGAGGGAGCGGGCAUUUUGCUAAGGAUUGUACUAGUCCGCGCCGAUCUAGACCUUCUGCUACAUCUGAAGGAUCAGCCCAAGUUUCUACACCUAGAGGGUCACAGCCAGUUGGUAGAGGUAGAGGCAGAGGUAGGGGUCCUGGUAACACUUCUGGAAGUCAAAGUACUAUUAACCAGCCAGUACCCAGUGGCGCACCAGUCAGAGUGUAUACCAUGCGUCUAAGGGAGGAGGCUGAAACAUCAGACGUAGUAGCUGGUAUUUUCUCCAUCCUUAACCAAGAUGUAUAUGUGUUGUUUCAUCCUGGCUCCACACGUUCAUAUGUCAGUGUUAGUGUGAUGUAUUCUACUGCUAUUCAGUGUGUACCAAUGGACUAUGAUGUGCUAGUAACUAGUCCAUUAGAUCAGGAGGUAAGGGUAAAUAGACUAUAUAGGGAUUGUCCUUUGGUAAUCUAAUGACACACUUUUCUGUCUAAUUUGAUUGAAAUGCCCUUCAAAGAUUAUGACAUUAUCUUGGGCAUGGAUUGGUUAGCCAGGCAUCACGCCAUGAUUGACUGUAGACUGAAGACAGUCACUUUUGGUCUCCCUUUGUACGGUGAUGUGGUAAUACACGGGGAGAGGCAUUUACUGCCAUCAAACAUCAUUUCGGCUGCACUAGCCAGAAGAAUGAUCAGAAAGGGGUGUGAAGCAUACUUGGCACAUGUGAUAGACACCCAAGUGGGGAGUCCAGCACUGAGGGACAUUCCUACUGUAUGUGACUUUCCGGAUGUGUUUCCUGAUGAAUUGCCAGGAUUACCUCCAGAAAGGGAAGUGCAGUUUGAAAUUGAUGUUAUGCCUGGUGUGGAUCCAAUCUUUAUAACACCAUAUAGAAUAGCACUUGCAGAUUUGAAAGAGUUGAAAGUGCAGUUGCAAGAAUUGCUUGACAAGGGCUUUAUCCGCCCUAGUGUGUCACCUUGGGGAGCGCCACUGUUGUUUGUAAAGAAGAAGGAUGGCACUCUCCGGUUAUGCAUUGACUAUCGGCAGUUGAAUAAGGUGACAAUAAAGAAUAGAUAUCCAUUGCCCCGCAUUGAUGACUUGUUUGAUCAGUUGAGGGGUGCAGCUGUGUUCUCCAAAAUUGACCUGAGAUCAGGUUAUUAUCAGCUGAAAGUACAAGAGCAGAGUAUUUCUAAAACUGCCUUCAGAACCCGCUAUGGCCAUUAUGAGUUCUUGGUCAUGCCAUUCGGGUUAACUAAUGCUCCGGCUGCUUUUAUGGAUCUGAUGAACACUAUCUUCAGACCAUACCUCUACCAGUUUGUUGUAGUAUUCAUAGAUGAUAUAUUGGUCUAUUCGAGGAGUGCAGAAGAGCAUGAUAGACAUCUGUGGAUUGUACUGCAGACUUUGAGGGAGAAACAGCUAUAUGCCAAAUUGUCGAAAUGUGAAUUUUGGUUGAAGGAAAUAUCCUUUUUGGGGCACAUAGUAUCAGCAGAGGGUAUUAAGGUAGAUCCUAGCAAGAUUGAAGCUGUCCUUAAUUGGAAGCCACCCAGAAAUAUCAUAGAGAUUCGUAGUUUUCUGGGUUUAGCUGGAUACUACCGUAGAUUUGUGAAGGGAUUCUCCAUGUUGGCAUCUCCAUUGACUAAGCUACUUAGAAAAGAUGUGAAAUUUCAGUGGACGGACAAAUGCCAGCAAAGUUUUGAUGAAUUGAAGAGAUGUUUGACUGAGGCUCCAGUCCUGACUUUACCUACACCGGGUAAAGAAUAUACAGUUUACAGCGAUACUUCUCACAAUGAGUUAGGUUGUGUGUUGAUGCAAGAUCGAAAUGUCAUUGCCUAUGCAUCACGCCAGCUAAAACCGCAUGAGAGGAAUUAUCCGACAUAUGAUUUGGAGCUUGCAGCUAUAAUAUUUGCUUUUAAGAUCUCGAGACACUAUUUGUAUGGGGAAAAGUGUUACAUCUACACAGAUCAUAAGAGUUUGAAGUAUUUGGGCACCCAGAAAGAGUUGAAUUUGAGACAGAGGAGAUGGUUAGAGUUGAUAAAAGACUAUGAUUGUCUGAUAGACUAUCAGCCAGGGAAAGCUAAUAUUCUGGCUGACGCCUUAAGUCGUAAGACUAUGGCAAGUCUACGAGUUACUCCUUUGUCUAUGGUACAUGGGUUGAGAUCAUUACAUGCCAGCUUAGAGAUUAAUGAUGAGGGGCAGACAGCAGUUGCAUGGCAUGUACAGCCAGUGUUGAUUGAUCAGAUUAGAAUGGCUGCUCAGAAUGAUCAGAAGUAUCAGAGGUUGUUGGAAGAAGUCCAGCAGGGCAAGAAACCAGAAUUCUCAAUCAGAGAUGAUGGUCUACUGCUACACCAGGGCAGAAUGUGUGUUCCUAAUGAUGUUGAUUUGAGGCAGAUCAUUUUGAAGGAAGCACAUGAGUCUCCUUUUGCCAUGCACCCUGGUGGUACAAAAAUGUAUAGAGGGCUAAAGGAGCAUUACUGGUGGAUGGGUAUGAAAAGAGAUGUGGCAGAGUUUGUAUCCAAAUGCCUAACUUGUCAGCAAGUAAAGGCAGAGCAUCAAGUACCCGCUGGGUUGUUACAUCCACUACCAGUACCAGAGUGGAAAUGGGAGAGAAUAACGAUGGAUUUUGUGAUGGGACUUCCGAGGACACAGAAGAGUCAUGAUGCGGUUUGGGUCAUUGUUGACAGACUGAUCAAGUUUGCUCAUUUUCUGCCAGUUCGGAUGGACUACAGUUUAGAAAGAUUGGCCAAGUUGUAUAUAGAUGAGAUUGUGAGACUACAUGGAGUGCCAGUAUCCAUCGUAUCAGACAGAGAUCCUAGGUUCACUUCUAGAUUCUGGGGUAGUCUUCAGAGAGCCCUAGGAACUAGAUUGAACUUCAGUACUGCAUUCCACCCACAGACAGAUGGCCAGUCUGAGAGGGUAAUUCAGAUCUUGGAGGACAUGCUAUGGGCUUGUGUGAUUGAGUUUGAGGGUAGUUGGGAUACACACUUGCCUUUGAUUGAGUUUGCUUACAACAACAGCUACCAAUCAAGCAUUGGGAUGCCUCCAUAUGAAGCUUUGUAUGGUAGGAAGUGCAGAACUCCCUUAUGUUGGGAUGAAGUAGGUGAAAGGAAGAUGAUUGGGCCAGAAAUUGUUCAGCAGAUAGAGGAAAAGAUCAGAUUGAUUAGAGAUAGACUCAAGACUGCGUCAGACCGUCAGAAGUCCUAUGUUGAUCUGAAAAGAAGAGAUAUUGAGUAUGCAGUGGGUGAUAAGGUAUUCCUCAAAGUUUCUCCUUGGAAGAGAAUUAUGAGAUUCGGCAGAAAGGGGAAACUGAGUCCUCGUUUCAUUGGGCCAUAUGAGGUUCUGGAAAGAGUGGGUCCUUUGGCAUAUCGGUUGGCAUUACCUCCAGAGCUAGCAAAGAUACACAGUGUCUUCCAUGUGUCCAUGUUAAGGAGGUACAGAUCUGACCCAUCUCAUGUGUUACCUGUGGAAGAAAUUGAAGUGAAUCCAGACCUCACAUAUGAAGAAGAACCCAUAAAGAUUCUGGCUUAUGAGGUGAAGCAGCUACGAAACAAGCAGAUACCGUUGGUAAAAGUGCUGUGGAACCAUCAUUCGGGCCAAGAAGCUACUUGGGAACGAGAGGAGGACAUGAGGAGACAACACCCACAGCUGUUCAGAAAUUGAUACCAGGUAAAAUUUCGAGACGAAAUUUAUUUUAAGGGGGGGAGAAUUGUAACACCCCUAUUUGUAUAGCCUGGUAUAUUUCACUGUUCCGGUGACCGGUGUCGGUCCGGACAAUUAAGGGGAUUAGAACCACACUUAAGACAACUAGAGAAGCCAUAAACACAAAUAAUUAGUAAUUGUCAAUUAGUUAAGUAUAAAUAAGAAAAACAGAACAUAAGAAGUUAAACGAGCCGAGAGUCACAGCGAUGAGUGACCUCCUCGGGAACGACUGCGAAGUCGUUUUAAACUCAAAUUUCGAACCGUAAAAUGUGACGCCGCGGUCCUUAGGACCCUUAUGAACACAGUGGAAAAGAGAAAAUCACGAAAAAGAACUGUUAAGCCAGUCAAAUAAUUAGGUCAGGGAGCCGGAAGAAAUAUGGAAUUAUUUGCAAACCGGGAUGAACCGGCGAGGGGCAAUUUGGUCAAUUGACCCCGAGAGCUGACUCCUGACCUAACUGUCAAAUAAAAUCGGAGAAAAGAAAAUUUCGGAAUCGAGAAUUAAAUUAAAGAACUAAUAGAAAAAAAUAAAUAGAAAAAAAAAAGAAAGAAGAUGGAAAAGUCAAAGUUGAUGACAUCAUUAAUGAUGUCAUAAACAAAUUUAUUAAAUAUUUAUUAAAUUUGAUAUUUAUGGUCUUCCAUAGCAAAAUAAAUAAAAGAAAACAAAGGAAAAAAAAAUAGAAAACACUCAUCUUCCAUAUGUUUCUCUCUCUUCCAAGCUCUCCUCUCCCUUUCUUUUUAUUUUUCCACCAUUAAAGCUUAUAUUUAAGCUUUUAAAACCAUAAAUUACACCAUAAAUUUCCUAGUUCCUCAUGUUAAACCUUGUCUUUGAGUCUUGAAAAGAAGAUUGGAGCAAGAAAGAAAAGGAAAAAUUGAAGAAAUAAAGACUUGGGAAUUCUGCAUAAAAGUUGAAAAGAAUAUCGGGAAGGAACCCGAGGAACCGAGUCGAGGCUAAGGGACGACUCGUUUGAGAUUUGUGCACAAUAAAUCUUAUUUAAGCAUUUUACCCUUGAAAAAUUGAUUUAGCAUGCAGUAUGAAUUUAUGAACUUUUGUGUUGCCACCUUGUGAUCAAAUUGUAACUUUGGAAAUUGAUUUGAUUUUUGUAUGCAAUAUUUGAAUGAAAUGUUUGAAAUGGAUUUUUGAUUCACACUUAGCAUGACAGUUACUUAUUAUUCCUCCUCCAUUUAUGGGGUUGAGAUCGUUUAUUUUCCUCCCUCUCUGGCUUGCCAGUUGAGGUUGUAGAUCGGAUGAGUACUCAUUAGCUAGCUAGCCACCUCCCUCAUUGAUUUCGAUUAGUAGAGUGAGUUUGGCUUGUCGUGAUGUAGACACGACAUGUUCGGAAAUUUUGUGUCAUGGCCUAAGUUGUGUUAUCAGUGUUAUCAAGGCGAAAGGCGACACUAAGGCGAUAGAGUACUCUAUGGCCUUAGGCGAGAGGCGAGAGGCGAGGCGAGGGCCUUUUUGAAGCGAGGCGCCAUAACCUUAAUUGUUUAAAUUAUAUAUAUAUAUAUAUAU